rnacentral:rRNA from 1 species
GAUGAACGCUGGCGGCGUGCCUAAUACAUGCAAGUCGAGCGAACAGACGAGGAGCUUGCUCCUCUGACGUUAGCGGCGGACGGGUGAGUAACACGUGGAUAACCUACCUAUAAGACUGGGAUAACUUCGGGAAACCGGAGCUAAUACCGGAUAAUAUAUUGAACCGCAUGGUUCAAUAGUGAAAGACGGUUUUGCUGUCACUUAUAGAUGGAUCCGCGCCGCAUUAGCUAGUUGGUAAGGUAACGGCUUACCAAGGCAACGAUGCGUAGCCGACCUGAGAGGGUGAUCGGCCACACUGGAACUGAGACACGGUCCAGACUCCUACGGGAGGCAGCAGUAGGGAAUCCUCCGCAAUGGGCGAAAGCCUGACGGAGCAACGCCGCGUGAGUGAUGAAGGUCUUCGGAUCGUAAAACUCUGUUAUUAGGGAAGAACAAAUGUGUAAGUAACUAUGCACGUCUUGACGGUACCUAAUCAGAAAGCCACGGCUAACUACGUG